rnacentral:rRNA from 1 species
UAGUGGAGCGAUUUGUCUGCUUAAUUGCGAUAACGAACGAGAUCCGAGCCUACUUAUGAUAGUGGGUAGCAUUAGUUUUCCACUGAUCUUUGUGUGUUCACUUCACCGUGACACACACUGGUUGAUGUUAACCUAUGCAAGUCCGCUUCUUAGAGGCACAAUAUGCGAUAUAAUAGCAUAUAGAAGUUGGACCAUAACA